rnacentral:misc_RNA from 1 species
UGGUUCGCAGAGGCUUGUACUAGGACAUCAGAUUUUGGGUAGUCUGUAUCUAUUUCUGCAUUUUUCUUAUGAAUUUUAUGAGAAAGGCUGAAUUAUGCAUUAUUUCAGAUUUAUUUAAUAUUUUCUCAUAUUUGUGCUUCGACUUAUGAUUAUGUGUUUUGGGUUGUUUACCUAUCAAUGGGUUAGAUAGGUGCCAUCAAAUCUCCAGUAUUUGGAUCAUGACUUGUCUGCAGAUAUUGUUCCCCUAUUGUGGAUAAACCAGUCCUAACAGAAAUCUGAGAUUGUGACAAGAUGUCUGCUUAAGCUGAAGGUGCUG